ACAUGCAGUCGAGGGGCAACACUUAGGGUGGCGACCGGCGCACGGGUGAGUAACACGUAUGCAACCUGCCUCAUACACUGGGAUAGCCUUCCGAAAGGGAGAUUAAUACCGGAUGUGACGUUUACCCCGCAUGGGGUGAAGAGUUAAAGAUUCAUUGGUAUGAGAUGGGCAUGCGCAGGAUUAGGUAGUUGGUAGGGUAAUAGCCUACCAAGCCGACGAUCCAUAGGGGAACUGAGAGGUUAAUCCCCCACACUGGUACUGAGACACGGACCAGACUCCUACGGGAGGCAGCAGUGAGGAAUAUUGGUCAAUGGUCGAGAGACUGAACCAGCCAAAUCGCGUGAAGGAAGACGGUAUUAUGUAUUGUAAACUUCUUUUGAGAGGGAAUAAAGUUCGGGAUGUAUCCUGUUUUGUAUGUACCUUUCGAAUAAGCAUCGGCUAACUCCGUGCCAGCAGCCGCGGUAAUACGGAGGAUGCAAGCGUUAUCCGGAUUUAUUGGGUUUAAAGGGUGCGUAGGUUGUUUGAUAAGUCAGCGGUGAAAUUUCUCAGCUUAACUGGGAGACUGCCGUUGAAACUGUCAGACUUGAGUGUAAACGAGGCAGGCGGAAUUCGUAGUGUAGCGGUGAAAUGCAUAGAUAUUACGAAGAACUCCGAUAGCGCAGGCAGCUUGCCAGGCUACAACUGACACUGAAGCACGAAAGUGUGGGUAUCAAACAGGAUUAGAUACCCUGGUAGUCCACACAGUAAACGAUGAAUACUGACUGUUUGCGAUAUAAAGUAAGCGGUUAAGCGAAAGCGUUAAGUAUUCCACCUGGGGAGUACGCCGGCACGGUGAAACUCAAGGAAUUGACGGGGGCCCGCACAAGCGGAGGAACAUGUGGUUUAAUUCGAUGAUACGCGAGGAACCUUACCCGGGUUCGAACGGCUAUAGAUAACGAUGAAAGUUGUUAGCCAGCAAUGGCUGUAGUCGAGGUGCUGCAUGGUUG
rnacentral:rRNA from 1 species